AUUGAACGCUGGCGGCAGGCCUAACACAUGCAAGUCGCGCGAGCGGCGGACGGGUGAGUCAUGUCUGGGAAACUGCCCGAUGGAGGGGGGUAACUACUGGAAACGGUAGCUAAUACCGCAUACUAUCGGAUGCGCCCAGAUGGGAUUAGCUAGUAGGUGGGGUAACGGCUCACCUAGGCGACGAUCCCUAGCUGGUCUGAGAGGAUGACCAUCCACACUGGAACUGAGACACGGUCCAGACUCCUACGGAAGACAGCAGUGGGGAAGUUUCCGCAAUGGGCGCAAGCCUGAUGCAGCCAUGCCGCGUGUAUGAAGAAGGCCUUUGGGUUGUAAAGUACUUUCAGCGAGGAGGCGUUACUCGCAAAGGAAGCACCGGCUAACUCCGUGCCAGCAGCCGCGGUAAUAC
rnacentral:rRNA from 1 species